rnacentral:rRNA from 1 species
GAUUAACGCUGGCGGCGUGCCUAACACAUGCAAGUCGAGCGGCAGCGAGUUUUACACUGAAUUCUGGAAGCUUCUAGUUGAAAGAGAAGAUUUAUUCAAGAAUUUUGUGUAAAAUGUCGGCGAGCGGCGGACGGCUGAGUAACGCGUGGGAACGUACCCCAAAGUGAGGGAUAACGCAUCGAAAGGUGUGCUAAUACCGCAUAUGGUCUUCGGAUUAAAGCCUUCGGGCGCUUUGGGAACGGCCUGCGUAAGAUUAGAUAGUUGGUGGGGUAAUGGCCUACCAAGUCGACGAUCUUUAACUGGUUUGAGAGGAUGAUCAGUCCGACUGGAACUGAGACACGGUCCAGACUCCUACGGGAGGCAGCAGUGAGGAAUCUUCCACAAUGGGCGAAAGCCUGAUGGAGCAACGCCGCGUGCAGGAUGAAGGCCUUCGGGUUGUAAACUGCUUUUAUAAGUGAGGAUUAUGACAGUAACUUAUGAAUAAGGAUCGGCUAACUACGUG